rnacentral:rRNA from 1 species
UACGAAGGGGGCUAGCGUUGCUCGGAAUUACUGGGCGUAAAGGGCGCGUAGGCGGCACUGUUAGUCAGGCGUGAAAGUCCUGGGCUCAACCUGGGAACUGCGCUUGAUACGGCAGAGCUAGAGGAUGGAAGAGGCUCGCGGAAUUCCCAGUGUAGAGGUGAAAUUCGUAGAUAUUGGGAAGAACACCGGUGGCGAAGGCAGCUCGCUGGGACGUGACUGACGCUGAGACGCGAAAGCGUGGGGAGCAAACAGG